AUCUGAGUUUGUUCUUCAUCUAGGGUUUUGAGGGUUUUGAUGAUGAGAGCAAUUGUGUGACGGGCUUGCCUUGCUCUCAAGAAAUCGGUUAGUAAUUUUUUUCUCACGAUUAUAUGAUUUCCUGUACCUAGGGUUUUGUUUAAUUCAAAAUUUGAAUUCCUACGCAUAUCCCCAAACACCCAUUAUCUGCUUUUCUUUUCAUUUGCAGAGGGAAUAACCGAGAAGAGAGAGAGAGAGAGAGAGAGAGGGAGAGAGAGAGAGAUAGAGACGAGAAGGAGAGUCAAGAUACAACGAGGUUGAACGAUGGCGGUAAUAACUCAAGGUGUUCGGAUCUGGAAUCCUAGGGUUAGGCUCUUAUGAUUUUCAUUUGGGGUUUUUUGUUCUGCAAUUGAGGUUUCAAGCCGAAAUCAGUGAAAAUUACAUCUGAAUUGUUACAAUCAAGCAUACAUGGUGUAGUCGUUGACCCUAAUGUUGGAACUGUUUUGUGGUUUUCUGUUUGUAAAGGCUGGCUUUCUGGUUGGAAUCACAAAUAUUGUACCAGUACGUGUCGAAAUACGAAGGUGAUUUGUUGGAAAAAUGUUACUUUGCGGAGCAUAAGCUCGAAUGGGAAGUUAUCGAUGGCGGGCUAAAGAAUAAAAUCGAGAUCGCAUACCCAAUUUCUUUAAGCAGAUUGGGACAAGAAAGGAACAAAUUCAAUGCUUAGAAGGAAACAGGUUUAGGAGGUUCCCAUGGUAAUAUAAGAGCCAAAGCUGCAGAGGAUGUAAGCACAAUUUUUCAAAACAAUCUAAAAAGUCAGCAAUUGGUUAUGGAUGCAAAUGGCACGAAGCCUUUGCUUUCGAAUUUCACUUAUGAUGAUGAUGUCACCGUUCGGACCAAAGCACUUGGUGCAAUCUUCAGUGAGUAGCUAUUCGAAAGCCUCUGAUUAGGCACGAAGAAGGUAUCGCCUGCUUACGACGCACCGCUACGAAAACCCUCACUUCCAUUUCCUUCACCACUGUAUUGUUUAAUUUUUUAAUUCAUCUCAGAAGAAGGUUUGAAUAACAAAAAAGCAUCGUUGGAUCAUAAUCUGGAAUUGCGCUUAGGGGGAAGUUCAGCCUCAAAUAGGCCAAAAAACAUAGAAUUUGGAAAUACUCGUCAAGUCAAAUUCAGUCGCCAAUCUAACUCGAUUCAUUUUAGACUUGAUAAGAAAAGUGUUUGCGGGUCAAGAGGACCCAACCCGUUAAUCAACCCACCUUUAUGUAUGGACUACAGAGGGGGAGUCAAAAGUGAAAGAAUAAAAAAUAAUCGGAUGGACAAGACGAAUCAUGGAUUAGCCAAGUAAAUGGGCAUAUCUAUAGAGCAUGAAGGAGUUGAUGUUCAAAUAAUAGCGUCGCUGGUGAUGUUACUACUACCGGAGAUAAUUGAAAACAGUUGAUCUCCGCUCGUGAUGUUACUGCGCAUGAGAUAAGUGAAAGAAGUUGAUCCUCAGGUUUAUGUUCAAUGGUCAUGUGCAACUGUUGCAAUGGGUCAAGCUGAUUGAUGCUGCUGAAGCAAGUGUGUUGUCCGGCUCGCCUAGAAGAUAGGUUGUAUGGGAUGGAGGUGGAGGCACAAGAGAGUUCUCAUAUGGGAUAAUGUAUCUAUAUUCAUUUGUUUAUAUCCUACCUUAAAAAAGAGUACAUAUACACACCAUAUGUUAUUUUUUUAAACUCGAUGGCCUAACUUAUUGACUGUCCUUUGCUUUAAAAGGUGUGAGCGGUUUUGGAAAGCUUAUAUGUGAGGAUAGAGUACUUCACGUAUGCGAGACGUUUGUAUUUAUAAACUACUAAUGGUUUCU
rnacentral:lncRNA from 1 species